rnacentral:misc_RNA from 1 species
UCGAAAUAUGAAGGUCUUUCGUGCUGUUGCUGGCUCCUUCGCGGGAGCAUGUGCACGCUCGUCUGGCCGCAUCCUUCUCUUUACCCCUGUGCACCUCUGCGUGGGUCCAAAGCGAGAGCUUCGGAUCCACGUCCCUUAUACACCCUCAUGUAUGUCUUCAGAAUGUCUCAUGCGAUAAAAAGCAUUUAAUA